rnacentral:tRNA from 1 species
GACCACGUAGCUCAGUUGCCAGAGCAUUGGACUAGUAUCCCAAAGGUCGCGGGUUUGAUUCCCACCGUGGUCA